rnacentral:rRNA from 1 species
CAUGCAGGCGGUCGAGCGCGUUUUGUGUGACAGCGGGUGGCUUAACUACCCGAGUAUACGAAAGACGGUUUGACUUGAGGGCUCGAGAGGGACACGGAAUUCCGGGUGGAGUGGUGAAAUGCGUAGAGAUCCGGAGGAACACCGAAGGCGAAGGCAGUGUCCUGGCGAGUGACUGACGCUGAGGUGCGAAAGCCAGGGGAGCGAACGGGAUUAGAUACCCCGGUAGUCCUGGCCGUAAACGAUGACCACCAGGUGUGGGAGGUAUCGACCCCUUCUGUGCCGAAGGAAACCCAUUAAGUGGUCCGCCUGGGGAGUACGGUCGCAAGGUUGAA